UACGUAGGGUGCGAGCGUUAAUCGGAAUUACUGGGCGUAAAGGGUGCGCAGGCGGUUAUAUAAGACAGAUGUGAAAUCCCCGGGCUCAACCUGGGAACUGCGUUUGUGACUGUAUGACUAGAGUACGGUAGAGAGGGGUGGAAUUCCUGGUGUAGCAGUGAAAUGCGUAGAUAUCAUGAGGAACACCAGAGGCGAAGGCGACUUCCUGGACAAUUGCUGACGCUCAGGCACGAAAGCAUGGGGAGCAAAAGGG
rnacentral:rRNA from 1 species